rnacentral:rRNA from 1 species
UAACUGAAGGGUUUGAUCCUGGCUCAGAAUGAACGUUGGCGGCGUGGAUUAGGCAUGCAAGUCGAACGAGAACGGUUCCUUCGGGAACCAAGUAAAGUGGCGGACGGGUGAGUAAUACAUAGACAACUUACCCCCGAGACGGGGACAACCACUCGAAAGGGUGGCUAAUACCCGAUACUGCCUGGAGUCGGUGGAUUCCAGGUGAAAGAUGGCCUCUGUUUCAAGCUUUCACUCGAGGAGGGGUUUAUGUCCUAUUAGCUAGUUGGUGAGGUAACGGCUCACCAAGGCGACGAUGGGUAGCCGGCCUGAGAGGGUGACCGGUCACACUGGGACUGAGACACUGCCCAGACUCCUACGGGAGGCUGCAGUCGAGAAUCUUCCGCAAUGCGCGCAAGCGUGACGGAGCGACGCCGCGUGGGUGAUGAAGGCCUUCGGGUUGUAAAACCCUGUUACCUACUAUGAACAAUUGGUGGUGAAUAGCCAGCCAAGCUGACGUAAGUAGGAGAGGAAGCACCGGCUAAAUACGUGCCAGCAGCCGCGGUAAUACGUAUGGUGCGAACGUUAUUCGGAAUUACUGGGCGUAAAGGGCGCGUAGGCGGUUUGGUAAGUCUGCAUGUGAAAUCCCUCGGCUUAACCGAGGAACUGCAUCGGAUACUGCCAGACUAGAGUGCAGGAGGGGAGAGCGGAAUUCCUGGUGGAGCGGUGAAAUGCGUAGAUAUCAGGAGGAACGCCAGUGGCGAAAGCGGCUCUCUGGCCUGCAACUGACGCUGAGGCGCGAAAGCUAGGGGAGCAAACGGGAUUAGAUACCCCGGUAGUCCUAGCCGUAAACGAUGGGCACUAGGUAGAGGAAGUUUUAGAGCUUUCUCUGCUGUAGCUAAUGUAUUAAGUGCCCCGCCUGGGGAGUAUGGUCGCAAGGCUAAAACUCAAAG